UGUGCACUUCCGAUAUGGAAUAUAAUAGGCUAUGCGAGGAGAGGAAAAAGAAAGAAAAUGAGGGUUUCAUAAACGAAGCAGCGGAAGCAAGGACAGAAAGCAAGGUAUGGGAGAUAGUAAACAGGGAAAGAAAGAAGUGGAAGAGGGUGUAUGAAGAAAUAGGAGAUCAGGAGUGG